GACGAACGCUGGCGGCGUGCUUAACACAUGCAAGUCGAACGGAAAGGCCCUGCUUUUGUGGGGUGCUCGAGUGGCGAACGGGUGAGUAACACGUGAGUAACCUGCCCUUGACUUUGGGAUAACUUCAGGAAACUGGGGCUAAUACCGGAUAGGAGCUCCUGCUGCAUGGUGGGGGUUGGAAAGUUUCGGCGGUUGGGGAUGGACUCGCGGCUUAUCAGCUUGUUGGUGGGGUAGUGGCUUACCAAGGCUUUGACGGGUAGCCAGCCUGAGAGGGUGACCGGCCACAUUGGGACUGAGAUACGGCCCAGACUCCUACGGGAGGCAGCAGUGGGGAAUAUUGCACAAUGGGCGGAAGCCUGAUGCGGCAACGCCGCGUGCGGGAUGACGGCCUUCGGGUUGUAAACCGCUUUCGCCUGUGACGAAGCGUGAGUGACGGUAAUGGGUAAAGAAGCACCGGCUAACUACGUG
rnacentral:rRNA from 1 species